UUUUUUCUUUUUUUUUUUUCUCUUCUUUUCUCCUCUUUAAUUUCUCCUCGAUUCCCUAACUCAAUUAAGGAUCCAAACAAAUGGUUAAUGAAGAUAAGGGGAUAUGGAAAUUUUUUGAAAAUAAAAAAAUAAAAUGUAAUUAAAAUUUUAUAAAUUGUGAAAAAAAUAAAGAUAAAAUGAGAAUGAAAAUUCUUCAAACCAUCCUGAAUCAUCAAAUUGGUCAUUUGAAAAGUUGUGUCAAAAAAAUUAUCCUUUUACAAUCCAAAACCACCUUUUCCAAGAACCAUGAUCUAAAUAGGGUUAAUUGGCAACACAGCUAACAUCUAUUUCACUACAAUUGCACAGAAUAUGAAAAUUCAACUUUUCAUUUUAUUCAUUCCCGUUCUACCAAGAAAAUAUAGAAAAUCCCAGAGAUGAAAAAACGAUCUUACCUCCUCUGUUCUAAUCCCUGUAGG
rnacentral:misc_RNA from 1 species